UACGUAGGGCGCAAGCGUUGUCCGGAAUUAUUGGGCGUAAAGAGCUCGUAGGCGGUUUGUCGCGUCUGCUGUGAAAACUCGAGGCUCAACCUCGGGCUUGCAGUGGGUACGGGCAGACUAGAGUGCGGUAGGGGAGCGGGGAAUUCCUGGUGUAGCGGUGAAAUGCGCAGAUAUCAGGAGGAACACCAGCGGCGAAGGCGCCGCUCUGGGCCGUAACUGACGCUGAGGAGCGAAAGCAUGGGUAGCAAACAGG
rnacentral:rRNA from 1 species